rnacentral:lncRNA from 1 species
AUUCACUCCCCCUCACUCACAUUCACUCCCCCUCACUCACAUUCACUCCCCCUCACUCACAUUCUCUCCCCCUCACUCACAUUCACUCCCCCUCACUCACAUUCACUCCCCCUCACUCACAUUCACUCCCCCUCACUCACAUUCUCUCCCCCUCACUCACAUUCUCUCCCCCUCACUCACAUUCACUCCCCCUCACUCACAUUCUCUCCCCCCUCACUCACAUUCACUCCCCGUCACUCACAUUCACUCCCCCUCACUCACAUUCUCUCCCCCUCACUCACAUUCUCUCCCCCUCACUCACAUUCACUCCCCCUCACUCACAUUCACUCCCCCUCACUCACAUUCACUCCCCCUCACUCACAUUCACUCCCCCCUCAUUCAGAUUCACUCUGCCUCACUCACAUUCUCUCCCCCCUCACAUUCACUCCCCCCUCAUUCAGAUUCACUCUGCCUCACUCACAUUCUCUCCCCCCUCAC